AUUGAACGCUGGCGGCAGGCCUAACACAUGCAAGUCGAACGAGUGGCGGACGGGUGAGUAAUGUCUGGGAAACUGCCCCUUGGAGGGGGAUAACUACUGGAAACGGUAGCUAAUACCGCAUAUCAUCGGAUGUGCCCAGAUGGGAUUUGCUAGUAGGUGGGGUAACGGCUCACCUAGGCGACGAUCCCUAGCUGGUCUGAGAGGAUGACCAGCCACACUGGAACUGAGAAACGGUCAAGACUCCUACGGUAGGCAGCAGUGGGGAAUAGUGCACAAUGGGCGAAAGCCUGAUGCAGCCAUGCCGCGUGGAUGAAGAAGGCCUUCGGGUUGUAAAGUACUUUAAGCGAGGAGGCGUUACUCGCAGAAGAAGCACCGGCUAACUCCGUGCCAGCAGCCGCGGUAAUUC
rnacentral:rRNA from 1 species